CACGGGGGGAGCAAGCGUUGUUCGGAAUCACUGGCGUAAAGGGCUCGUAGGUGGCCAACUAAGUCGGACGUGAAUCCCUCGGCUUAACCGGGGAACUGCCUCUGAUACUGGAUGGCUUGAGAUUGGGAGAGGAUGCGGAAUUCCAGGUGUAGCGGUGAAAUGCGUAGAUAUCUGGAGAACACCGGUGGCGAAGGCGACAUCCUGGACCGGUAUUGACGCUGAGGCGCGAAAGCCAGGGAGCAACGGG
rnacentral:rRNA from 1 species